UGCCCAAAAACUCCUAUCCCUAUCUCCUCGCGGUACUGGCAGGGGUACGAGUAACCUUAGGGAAGAUCGGGUAACCAGUGGGAGCUUUGGUCGCAUGCUGACAGGGAGGG
rnacentral:ribozyme from 1 species